GAAAAAGAACAAGAGCGCUCCCGCGGUUGUGGCUUGUCCUCUGUAAUAGAAGAAGACUAAAAUAACCGAGUCUGGGAUGGGGAGGAGGGAAAUUGCCAGCGCAGCCCUGCAUUCUCUCAUCAACGAUUAUAGUUAAUUGCUAAUUGCACAAAAUGAUAGUUUGAGGGCCUGUAAUUAAAAGCUUAACCUUUUUCUGGUUGGAGGAAGGGGACCCCGGUAGAUUUAUUCUCGGUAUACUUUGUAACGUUCAAUUACGAGCAUUGUGGAGGGAAAAAAGGAAGUAAAGUCAACCUUCUCGAAAGGAUAGAUCGGGGGAGGUGGGUGCCGGGCAGGACCUAAGUCUAGGAUUUGUUCUUAUUGAACUUCAGUUUUCUUGAACACAUCGCCCUGGUUGAGAGGCCUUCUGUGCUCUGGUCUAAGCAGAGUAGAGGGAUACAUUGAAUUAUUUCACCUGCUAAUGUGAUGUGUAUACACUUCGGUUUUAUAAGUUGCUGUACCUCGAAUGAAUCCAAGUUGACAGAUUUCAGAUUCCAUGUCCGAGCUUUCUUCAGGCGUUGUAAGGUCCCUGCCUUGGUUCUCCUGAGCAGUUCUCAGUGGCAGACUACUGGGAGAGAGGUUUAUUUGGGAACUUCCUGUACCCAGGAGGCCCUGGGGGUAGUUCUCAGCCAGGACACAUUUUUUGGUCCGUGUAAUUUAGCCUCAUUGUGAUUGAUAAGCUCACACGGAGAUGGGAUCCUUCAAAGCUGCUCAGCAUGGAUGCUGCUGUGUAUAAUCGGAGGGUAGAGGACGUCUGAAAACUGCAUGGGAAACACCAUCCAUGCCAUUUUACAACGCAGGUGCUCACAGCUAGUACCCAAACACAGACCAAGUUUGCGGGGGUUGGUCUAACUUUCAUAUCUCUGGGGCUUGAGAAGCUCAUAACCACUUUACAGCUGGUGGAGAGGGAAGGGGACAUAGGUGAAGUCAAUAUGAACAGACUCAGUACUUAACUGAGACGUCACAUGCUUGUUUUUAAUUUACUUUAGAGAGAAAUGUACACUACAAGGGAAACGUUGAUAUGGUACAAUAAGACUUAUCUUUGACAAACAUGUAUUAUGCUUUCUAGCAUAAAUAAACUGUUGGUAAGCC
rnacentral:lncRNA from 1 species